rnacentral:rRNA from 1 species
CGGAGAUACUCGAGCGGCGGACGGCAGAGUAACGCGUAGGAACAUACCCCAAACUGAGGGAUAACUGCUCGAAAGAGUAGCUAAUACCGCAUGUGGUCUUCGGAUUAAAGCUUCGGCGGUUUGGGAAUGGCCUGCGUCCGAUUAGCUAGUUGGUGAGGUAAUAGCUCACCAAGGCGACGAUCGGUAGCUGGUCUGAGAGGAUGAUCAGCCUGACUGGAACUGAGAACGGUCCAGACUCC